rnacentral:rRNA from 1 species
GUGCCAGCCGCCGCGGUAAUACAGGGGGCGCGAGCGUUGCUCGGAAUCACUGGGCGUAAAGCGAACGCAGGCGGACCGUUAAGUCGCAUGUGAAAGCCCGGGGCUCAACCCCGGAAGUGCAUGCGAAACUGGCGGUCUUGAGUACGGGAGAGGUGGGUGGAAUUCCUGGUGUAGAGGUGAAAUUCGUAGAUAUCAGGAGGAACACCGGUGGCGAAAGCGGCCCACUGGCCCGAUACUGACGCUCAUGUUCGAAAGCGUGGGGAGCAAACAGGAUUAGAUACCCUCGUAGUCC